UACGGGGGGGGGUAAGCGUUGUUCGGAAUUACUGGGCGUAAAGGGCGCGUAGGCGGCCGCCUAAGUCAGACGUGAAAUCCCUCAGCUUAACUGGGGGAACUGCGUGUGAGACUGGCGGGCUUGAGUGCAGGAGAGGACGCGGAAUUCCAGGUGUAGCGGUGAAAUGCGUAGAUAUCUGGAGGAACACCAAAUUGCGAGGCAGCUGCGCUGGGACGUUACUGACGAGCUGAGACGCGGAAGCGUGGGGAGCAAACAGG
rnacentral:rRNA from 1 species